AGUGAACGCUGGCGGUAGGCCUAACACAUGCAAGUCGAACGGCAGCACAGUAAGAGCUUGCUCUUACGGGUGGCGAGUGGCGGACGGGUGAGGAAUACAUCGGAAUCUACUUUUUCGUGGGGGAUAACGUAGGGAAACUUACGCUAAUACCGCAUACGACCUACGGGUGAAAGCAGGGGAUCUUCGGACCUUGCGCGAUUGAAUGAGCCGAUGUCGGAUUAGCUGGUUGGCGGGGUAAAGGCCCACCAAGGCGACGAUCCGUAGCUGGUCUGAGAGGAGGAUCAGCCACACUGGAACUGAGACACGGUCCAGACUCCUACGGGAGGCAGCAGUGGGGAAUAUUGGACAAUGGGCGCAAGCCUGAUCCAGCCAUACCGCGUGGGUGAAGAAGGCCUUCGGGUUGUAAAGCCCUUUUGUUGGGAAAGAAAAGCAGCAGGUUAAUACCCCGCUGUUCGGACGGUACCCAAAGAAUAAGCACCGGCUAACUUCGU
rnacentral:rRNA from 1 species